rnacentral:rRNA from 1 species
UACGUAGGUGGCAAGCGUUGUCCGGAAUUAUUGGGCGUAAAGCGCGCGCAGGCGGCCUUUUAAGUCUGAUGUGAAAGCCCACGGCUCAACCGUGGAAGGUCAUUGGAAGCUGAAAGGCUUGAGUACAGAAGAGGAAAGCGGAAUUCCACGUGUAGCGGUGAAAUGCGUAGAGAUGUGGAGGAACACCAGUGGCGAAGGCGGCUUUCUGGUCUGUAACUGACGCUGAGGCGCGAAAGCGUGGGGAGCAAACAGG